CCGCUCUUCCCGGCUCCCAGAGGCCCAGAUUGGGACAGAGGGGCGGGUGCAAUCUGCAUGCGCAUGCACGCUCCGGCCUCCAUGGACCAAGAUGGCGCCGGUGGAGCACGUUGUAGCCGAUGCAGGGGCUUUCCUGCGGGACGCGGCUCUGCAGGACAUCGGGAAGAACAUCUACACCAUUCGGGAUGUGGUCAGCGAGAUUCGGGAUAAGGCCACGCGCAGGCGGCUCGCAGUCCUGCCCUACGAGCUACGUUUCAGGGAGCCCUUCCCGGAAUACGUGCGGCUGGUGACUGAGUUUUCAAAGAAAACUGGAGACUAUCCCAGCCUCUCUGCCACAGAUAUCCAAGUACUGGCACUUACCUACCAGCUGGAAGCAGAGUUUGUUGGGGUGUCUCACCUAAAACAAGAACCAGAAAAGGUUAAAGUGAGUUCAUCAAUUCAGCACCCAGAAACUCCUCUACACAUUUCUGGUUUCCAUCUGCCCUCAAAGCCUAAAUCCGCACGAGGAACAGUAGAACGUGGACACCCAGUCGGUGAGCCUGAGGACCUAGAAUUCAGUUCCUUUGUGUUCUGGAGAAAUCCUUUGCCUAAUAUUGAUCAUGAACUUCAGGAGCUGCUGAUUGACAAAGGUGAGGCUAUUCCAAGUGAGGAAGAGAACGAAGAGAAUGGAUUUGAAGAAAGGAAGGACCAAGACAGUGAUGAUGACGGGGGUGGGUGGAUAACCCCCAGCAACAUCAAGCAGGUCCACCAGGAGAUGAAGCAGUGUGCCAUCCCGAAGGAUGUGCGGGUCGGCUGUGUGACUACAGACUUCGCCAUGCAGAAUGUCCUGCUCCAGAUGGGGCUGCAUGUGCUGGCCGUGAACGGCAUGCUGAUCCGCGAGGCCCGGAGCUACAUCUUGCGCUGCCACGGCUGUUUCAAGACAACAUCUGACAUGAGCAGAGUGUUCUGUGCACAGUGUGGAAACAAGACACUGAAGAAGGUGUCUGUGACCGUCAGCGACGAUGGAACCCUGCGCAUGCACUUUUCCCGCAACCCUAAGGUGCUGAAUCCUCGGGGCCUCCGGUAUUCACUCCCCACUCCCAAAGGGGGCAAGUACGCCAUCAACCCCCACCUGACCGAGGACCAGCGCUUCCCUCAGCUGCGACUUUCCCGAAAGGCCAGGCAGAAAACUGACGUGUUUGCCCCUGACUACAUAGCUGGGGUGUCUCCCUUUGCAGAGAAUGAUAUCUCCAGCCGGUCAGCUACCUUGCAGGUCCGAGACAGCACCUUGGGAGCCGGCAGGAGACGGUUAAAUCCCAAUGCUUCCAGAAAGAAGUUUGUGAAGAAAAGGUGAAGCGUGAGCUCCACAGGCAAGCUGGACUGAUGCUGUGACUGCCCAGGAGACCCAUGUCUCAGGUCCCCAGCUGUGCCAACUCCACAACCACUUGGACACAGAAGAGGCCUGGCUUCCAUAGUGCUGCCCCAGGACUCACUGUGGUGCCUCGGGUUGGGUUUGUGGUGGAACCUGCCAUCCCUUGGCCUGUGUGUAUCCAGGAGGUUUAUGUGAACAUUGUGACCUGACCUACUUGGACAUGAACAGCUGCAAGAGCAAAGGAUUCCAGCACCAAGAAGUUUGCAACAACCAGCCACACCCCUUCCCUCUUUAGUAUAAAAGAAGCCUGAAUUCUGACUCAGGCUGUGCAGUAUGUGGGAUCUUAGUUCCCUGACCAGGGAUUGAACUUGUGCCCCCUGCAGUGGAAGUGCAGAGUCUUAAUCACUGGACCGCCAGGGAAGUCCCUGAGUUCUCUUUCUUUGUCACUGUUUCUGAGGGCCGUGGUUCCCUGAGCAGAGAUCAAACCCGUGCCCACUGCAGUGGAAGUGUGGAGUCUUAACCACUGGACCAGCAGGGAAGUCCCAUGAUGCCUUAUUUUAAUUUGCUUUUCCUUGCAGGCCUGACAGGGCACGUUCUCAUUUGUUUAUUGUUGUUUGCAAUUUCCUUCCCUGAAUCAUAUCCUUGACUUUUUCUUCUACUGCAUUGUCUUUUCCUAAUUAUUUGUAGGCAUUCUUUAGGAUGUUAACUCUUUGUGAUGAGUUCUGGAUAUCUUCUCCUGAUUGUCUUUUGCUUCUGUUUAUGGGACCUUUUGUUAAAUACAAAUUUUUGAUGUUUAUGUGGCUUUAUCUCUCAGGCUUUUCCUUCAUGGUUUCUGAAUCUCUAGUCUUUCUUAAAAGGUAGCCUCUGUCCAGAGGUUAUACAAAUUCUCCCUUUCAUCCCAUACUAUUCUUUUUUUUUUUUUUAAAGGUUUUUAAAAUAACAUUUAUGGGGCUUCCCUGGUGGCGCAGUGG